GAUCAUGGCUCAGGAUGAACGCUGGCGGCGUGCUUAACACAUGCAAGUCGAACGAAGCACUUUACCUGAUUUCCUUCGGGGAUGAUUGUUCUGUGACUGAGUGGCGGACGGGUGAGUAACGCGUGGAUAACCUGCCUCACACAGGGGGAUAACAGUUGGAAACGGCUGCUAAUACCGCAUAAGCGCACAGUACCGCAUGGUACGGUGUGAAAAACUCCGGUGGUGUGAGAUGG
rnacentral:rRNA from 1 species